AAGUCGUAACAAAGGUUUCCGUAGGUGAACCUGCGGAAGGAUCAUUAUCGAGUUUUGACUGGGUUGUAGCUGGCCUUCCGAGGCAUGUGCACGCCCUGCUCAUCCCACUCUACACCUGUGCACUUACUGUGGGCUUCAGAUCGUAAAACGGGUCCCUUUACCGGGCUUGCGGAGCGUGUCUGUGCCUGCGUUUAUCACAAACUCUAUAAAGUAUCAGAAUGUGUAUUGCGAUGUAACGCAUCUAUAUACAACUUUCAGCAACGGAUCUCUUGGCUCUCGCAUCGAUGAAGAACGCAGCGAAAUGCGAUAAGUAAUGUGAAUUGCAGAAUUCAGUGAAUCAUCGAAUCUUUGAACGCACCUUGCGCUCCUUGGUAUUCCGAGGAGCAUGCCUGUUUGAGUGUCAUGAAAUCUUCAACCUGCAAGCUUUUGUGGUUUGUAGGCUUGGACUUGGAGGCUUGUCGGCCGUUCUCGGUCGGCUCCUCUUAAAUGCAUUAGCUUGGUUCCUUGCGGAUCGGCUCUCAGUGUGAUAAUGUCUACGCUGCGACCGUGAAGCGUUUGGCGAGCUUCUAACCAUCUCAGUUGGAGACAACUUUAUGACCUCUGACCUCAAAUCAGGUAGGACUACCCGCUGAACUU
rnacentral:rRNA from 1 species